GAUGAACGCUGGCGGCGUGCCUAAUACAUGCAAGUCGAGCGAACAGACGAGGAGCUUGCUCCUCUGACGUUAGCGGCGGACGGGUGAGUAACACGUGGAUAACCUACCUAUAAGACUGGGAUAACUUCGGGAAACCGGCGCUAAUACCGGAUAAUAUAUUGAACCGCAUGGUUCAAUAGUUAAAGACGGUUUUGCUGUCACUUAUAGAUGGAUCCGCGGCGCAUUAGCUAGUUGGUAAGGUAACGGCUUACCAAGGCGACGAUGCGUAGCUGACCUGAGAGGUUGAUCGGCCACACUGGAACUGAGACACGGUCCAGACUCCUACGGUAGGCAGCAGUAGGGAAUCUUCCGCAAUGGGCGAAAGCCUGACGGAGCAACGCCGCGUGAGUGAAGAAGGUCUUCGGAUCGUAAAACUCUGUUGUUGGGGAAGAACAAAUGUGUAAGUAACUACGCACGUCUUGACGGUACCCAAUCAGAAAGCCACGGCUAACUACGUG
rnacentral:rRNA from 1 species